UUUUUGGUCCAUGUGUUUCAGUUCCUAAUUAGUACUUGUGUGUGUUGUUAUAUGUUGAACAAGUCUCUAUCUUUAUGAUCGUGUUCAUGUAAAUCAAUGUUUUAAAAGGCGAAGGUGUAGGCGAGGCUAUCAUGCCUAGGCGAAAGCCUUAGAGCGUGAGGCAAAGCUUCAUGAGACCAGCUACUGUAUAAUAAUCUAUCACUAGUUUGGUGAAUCUUUGUGAUAAUUGAUAGCAAUGUUCACAAAUAAGGCUUGUACUAAUGAAUGAAUGGCUAUACUAAUGACAGCUAUCUCUUUUUUAUAAUCUUUUUCAUUUGUGAUUUUGAUUUGUGCUUUUGGGUAUUUUGUUCACUAAUUGAAGAAAAUGAAGACGCUAUUCCUGACACCUUAGGCCAGGAAAGGGUUGAUGCCUUGAGUUUCCCAGUGUUGCCUGAAAAUGGACAGCCAGAUUUUGAUAUUUCCUCUGUGAAUCUACCUCCUGAUCAGAUGCGAACAGUUGAAAACAUCAGUACACUAAUUUCUGAGUUAGCAUUGGAGAAAGAAGAGUUGAUAGAGUCUUUGGCAUCCGAGUCAUCUCAAUGGUCCAAGCUGAAGGUAGCAUGUUUUUUAAUUUUCAACUCAAUAUAGGAUUGUGCUGCGGCUUUUGACUUGUUAGCAUGUAGUCCACUUUAAGCAAGAAAGGACUUUCUUCGGGACUGAUUAAUAUAUUUUAGCGCUGAGGCCAUGCUGUUGAUACAUAGUUGAAAAACCAUUAACAAUACUAACGGAAUAUGGAAUAAUGCGACCAAAAGAGGCCUAUGCACUUCUCAUGUGCUUGGUUCUGAGAAUGGUCUUAGUAUCAUCUAUGGGCCGCGUGCUCAUACUCCGGUGCAAAAUGUGUUUUCAAGUCAUAUCCUUCGCUGUCAUUCAAGUGUUUAUGAAUGAAGGAAUUGAACGAUGAAUUGUCCUGGAAACUUGAAGCUCAAACUCAGAGAUUAGAGCUUUUGACUGCCCAAAGUAUGGCCAAUGAAAAUAUUCUUGUCAGACAACCCACUCCUGUUGAUAUGCCUGACAAUACUCCACAUGCGGAUGAAGGCGACGAGGUAGUGGAAAGAGUCUUAGGAUGGAUUAUGAAGCUUUUCCCCGGAGGGCCAUCAAAACGAAGAACUAGUCAGCUUCUGUGAGAUUCAAGUCAGCAUAGCAUGCCAGCAAUGCCUGCGCUCGAAUCUGGUUUUGUUUUCCUUCACUCCCUUGGCGUAUUGAAGGUCGUAAUUUGUACAUUUUUUUUGAGUCAAUCUUAGAGUCCGUUCUUUUUCAAUGGAAGAAAUAUGAUCUUGUACGUACUUAAGAGGGCGGCCUUGUCAUGUGGU